rnacentral:rRNA from 1 species
AUUGAGCGCUGGCGGCAGGCCUAACGCAUGCAAGUCGAGCGGAUGAAGGGAGCUUGCUCCUGGAUUCAGCGGCGGACGGGUGAGUAAUGCCUAGGAAUCUGCCUGGUAGUGGGGGAUAACGUCCGGAAACGGGCGCUAAUACCGCAUACGUCCUGAGGGAGAAAGUGGGGGAUCUUCGGACCUCACGCUAUCGGAUGAGCCUAGGUCGGAUUAGCUAGUUGGUGGGGUAAAGGCCUACCAAGGCGACGAUCCGUAACUGGUCUGAGAGGAUGAUCAGUCACACUGGAACUGAGACACGGUCCAGACUCCUACGGGAGGCAGCAGUGGGGAAUAUUGGACAAUGGGCGAAAGCCUGAUCCAGCCAUGCCGCGUGUGUGAAGAAGGUCUUCGGAUUGUAAAGCACUUUAAGUUGGGAGGAAGGGCAGUAAGUUAAUACCUUGCUGUUUUGACGUUACCAACAGGAUAAGCACCGGCUAACUUCGUG